ACGUUUCCAAAAACGAUUGCCCUGCGAAAGCGAAGGUGAAGAUAAUUAGCAAGUGAAUCAGCAAUAACCAUCGAUUCAGUUUCACGUCAAAAAUCAGGUCGCCUUCUUAUGAAUUAGUGCCUUUGAAAAUUAUGAGAUCAGCUCGCUUUCUUAUGAAAUUAUUUGGAUAUUAUUCAGUUUUAGGUUGCCUUCAUAUGAAAUUAUUUAGAAAUUAUUCAGUCUCAGUUGCCUUCUCAUGAAUUUUUUUUUUGGGGAAUUUUUCAGUUUCAGGUUGACAUCUUACGUAUGAACAGAAUUUUAAAAGAAGAAAUUAUCCAGUUUCAGUUUGCCUUCGUAUGAAAAUAUUUAUAUUCUUAAUCGGAAAAAUUAGAAUGCCACUAAUCAUCUAUAAAUAAUCGAAACCUCCGUUAACAUUAACAUAAUAUACGUACGAUAACAAAUCUUUUCUUACAAGUUCGAUGAAUGGAGAAAUCAUCUGCUCUCUUCCUUUUUACUUGCGUUUGUUUCAUUUUAACCAUCGUCCCAACUAGACGUUUCCAAAAACAAUUGGUCUGCGAAAGCGAAGGUGAAGAUAAUUAGCAACUAAGAUAUAUAAAAUACAAUUUUGCAGCAUUUUCUUCAUGAAAAAUGAAACAAUUUUGCAACUUUUGGUUCAUUGAGAAAAAUGUUUGACAACUAGACGUUUCCAAAAACGAUUGGCCUGCGAAAGCAAAGGUGAAAAUAAUUAGCAGCUAAGAUAUAUAAAAUGCAAUUUUGCAGCAUUUUCUUCAUGAAAAAUGAAACAAUUUUGUAACUUUUGGUUCAUUGAGAAAGAUGUUUGACAACUAGACGUUUCCAAAAACGAUUGGCCUGCGAAAGCAAAGGUGAAAAUAAUUAGCAGCUAAGAUAUAUAAAAUGCAAUUUUGCAGCAUUUUCUUCAUGAAAAAUGAAACAAUUUUGUAACUUUUGGUUCAUUGAGAAAGAUGUUUGACAACUAGACGUUUCCAAGAACGAUUGGCUUGCGAAAGCGAAGGUGAAGAUAAUUAGCAAUUAAGAUAUAUAAAAUGCAAUUUUGCAGCAUUUUCUUCAUGAAAAAUGAAACAAUCUUACAACUUUUGGUUUAUUGAGAAAGAUGUUUGACAACUAAACGUUUCCAAAAAUGAUUCGCCUGCGAAAGCGAAGGUGAAGAUAAUUAGCAAGUGAAUCAGCAAUAACCAUCGAUUCAGUUUCACGUCAAAAACCAGGUCGCCUUCUUAUGAAUUAAUGUCUUUGAAAAUUAUGAGAUCAGCUCGCUUUCUUAUGAAAUUAUUUGGAUGUUAUUCAGUUUUAGGUUGCCUUAUUUUGAAAUUAUUUAGAAAUUAUUCAGUCUCAGUUGCCUUCUCAUGAAUUUUUUUUUUUUGGGAAUUUUUCAGUUUCAGGUGGACAUCUUAUGUAUGAACAGAAUUUUAAAAGAAGAAAUUAUCCAGUUUCAGUUUGCCUUCGUAUGAAUAUAUUUAUAUUCUUAAUCGGAAAAAUUAAAAUGCCACUGAUCAUCUAUAAAUAAUCGAAACCUCCGUUAACAUUAAAAUCAAUAUACGUACGAUAACAAAUCUUUUCUUACAAGUUCGAUGAAUGGAGAAAUCAUCUGCUCUCUUCCUUUUUACUUGUGUUUGAUUCAUUUUAACCAUCGUCCUAACUAGACGUUUCCAAAAAUGAUUGGCCUGCGAAAGCGUAGGUGAAGAUAAUUAGCAACUAAGAUAAAUAAAAUACAAUUUUGCAGCAUUUUCUUCAUGAAAAAUGAAACAAUCUUACAACUUUUGGUUUAUUGAGAAAGAUGUUUGACAACUAAACGUUUCCAAAAAUGAUUCGCCUGCGAAAGCGAAGGUGAAGAUAAUUAGCAAGUGAAUCAGCAAUAACCAUCGAUUCAGUUUCACGUCAAAAACCAGGUCGCCUUCUUAUGAAUUAAUGUCUUUGAAAAUUAUGAGAUCAGCUCGCUUUCUUAUGAAAUUAUUUGGAUGUUAUUCAGUUUUAGGUUGCCUUAUUUUGAAAUUAUUUAGAAAUUAUUCAGUCUCAGUUGCCUUCUCAUGAAUUUUUUUUUUUUGGGAAUUUUUCAGUUUCAGGUGGACAUCUUAUGUAUGAACAGAAUUUUAAAAGAAGAAAUUAUCCAGUUUCAGUUUGCCUUCGUAUGAAUAUAUUUAUAUUCUUAAUCGGAAAAAUUAAAAUGCCACUGAUCAUCUAUAAAUAAUCGAAACCUCCGUUAACAUUAAAAUCAAUAUACGUACGAUAACAAAUCUUUUCUUACAAGUUCGAUGAAUGGAGAAAUCAUCUGCUCUCUUCCUUUUUACUUGUGUUUGAUUCAUUUUAACCAUCGUCCUAACUAGACGUUUCCAAAAAUGAUUGGCCUGCGAAAGCGUAGGUGAAGAUAAUUAGCAACUAAGAUAAAUAAAAUACAAUUUUGCAGCAUUUUCUUCAUGAAAAAUGAAACAAUUUUGUAAUUUUUGGUUCAUUGAGAAAGAUGGUUGACAACUAGACGUUUCCAAGAACGAUUGGCCUCCGAAAGCGAAUGUGAAGAUAAUUAGCAACUAUACUCUGAGCUCGGUUCAUCAAUUAAUUAAUCUCUCUUCUCAGGGCAUUUACUUGUCUUAGAAAGUUUUUUAUCACCUUUAAUUACAAUUGCAUCAAGACAUGGAUCUUCGACUUCCUCAAAUUGAAGUUGCUUACGGCAUUAAAGUUUUCAAGUUUUGAUAUGUUGUGUAAAAAAUAUUCAACUAGCUGCCCGAAGUAUUCCUAAACUUCUAUCGUUUUAUACAAACAAAAUAAAAUCCAAGCCAUGUUAUUUAUUUAUUUAUUUAUUUAUUUUUGGGCAAGACUAGUAUCUUGAUCAUUUUCACUAGUAGGUUAGAUACCACCAGUUUGUUAGGAUUGAAUUGAGCACAUUGAUCAAUUAAUCUUCAGUGAUGAACCAACAUUGACGUAAUCUAUGAACAAUUUGAGGCUUAAAAAAAUAAUCAAUUGAAAACAAAGAAAGAUACAAGAAAACCGAGACUCAAUAAGAACAAGUCAAAUUGUAUAAACUUGAUGUGAUUCAGCCAAUAAAGGUGCUUACUACCAUAUCGAAAUAUGAACUCAAAUCAAGCUUAAUUGAUUAUUUAAUUUGGUCAUGUUAACUACAAAGAGUUCCAACCUUACAAAUUUUUUAAGCUUAAUGUGAUUCAGCCAUAACUAUGAUGUAACCCUUGAUAUCAACCUUGGAAACCCCUGCUUUCCUGAAUUAGAUUCUCUUCGUCUGCAACUUAACAAAUUAUCUACUAGCUCAAAACUCCACAUCAGCGCAACUGAUUUGAUUUCUGAAAAAAUAAUUAUACUAUUCACAAAUUGGCCAAUAAGUAUUGAGAAAGUCAAAUUGAUUGCUUUUAAUGGAAAUAUCUUUUAUCUCCAUUGGAUAGGGCAUAACCGUAGAACACUAGUGAGGUUAUAUAAAUGGUUACUGAUAACCAGCCGACUGAUUAAUUAGGUGCAAAACGUUGUGGUAUGAAUAACUAAGAUAUAUAAAAUGCAAUUUUGCAGCAUUUUCUUCAUGAAAAAUGAAACAAUUUUGCAACUUUUGGUUCAUUGAGAAAGAUGUUUGACAACUAGACGUUUCCAAAAACGAUUGCCCUGCGAAAGCGAAGGUGAAGAUAAUUAGCAAGUGAAUCAGCAAUAACCAUCGAUUCAGUUUCACGUCAAAAAUCAGGUCGCCUUCUUAUGAAUUAGUGCCUUUGAAAAUUAUGAGAUCAGCUCGCUUUCUUAUGAAAUUAUUUGGAUAUUAUUCAGUUUUAGGUUGCCUUUAUAUGAAAUUAUUUGGAAAUUAUUCAGUCUUAGUUGCCUUCUCAUGAAUUUUUUUUUUGGGGAAUUUUUCAGUUUCAAGUUGACAUCUUACGUAUGAACAGGAUUUUAAAAGAAGAAAUUAUCCAGUUUCAGUUUGCCUUCGUAUGAAAAUAUUUAUAUUCUUAAUCAGAAAAAUUAGAAUGCCACUGAUCAUCUAUAAAUAAUCGAAACCUCCGUUAACAUUAACAUUAAUAUACGUACGAUAACAAAUCUUUUCUUACAAGUUCGAUCAAUGGAGAAAUCAUAUGGUCUCUUCCUUUUUACUUGCGUUUGUUUCAUUUUAACCAUCGUCCCAACUAGACGUUUCGAAAAAUGAUUGGUCUGCGAAAGCGAAUGUGAAGAUAAUUAGCAACUAAGAUAUAUAAAAUGCAAUUUUGCAGCAUUUUCUUCAUGAAAAAUGAAACAAUUUUGUAACUUUUGGUUCAUUAAGAAAGAUGGUUGACAACUAGACGUUUCUAAAAACGAUUAGCCUGCAAAAGGGAAUGUGAAGAUAAUUAGCAACUAAGAUAUAUAAAAUGCAAUUUUGCAGCAUUUUCUUCAUGAAAAAUGAAACAAUUUUGUAACUUUUGGUUCAUUAAGAAAGAUGGUUGACAACUAGACGUUUCUAAAAACGAUUAGCCUGCAAAAGGGAAUGUGAAGAUAAUUAGCAACUAAGAUAUAUAAAAUGCAAUUUUGCAGCAUUUUCUUCAUGAAAAAUGAAACAAUUUUGUAACUUUUGGUUCAUUAAGAAAGAUGGUUGACAACUAGACGUUUCUAAAAACGAUUAGCCUGCAAAAGGGAAUGUGAAGAUAAUUAGCAACUAAGAUAUAUAAAAUGCAAUUUUGCAGCAUUUUCUUCAUGUAAAAUGAAGCAAUUUUGCAACUUUUGGUUCAUUGAGAAAUAUAUUUGACAACUAAAUGUUUCCAAAAAUGAUUGGCCUGCGAAAGUGAAUGUGAAGAUAAUUAGCAACUAAGAUAUAUAAAAUGCAAUUUUGCAGCAUUUUCUUCAUGAAAAAUGAAACAAUUUUGUAACUUUUGGUUCAUUAAGAAAGAUGGUUGACAACUAGACGUUUCUAAAAACGAUUAGCCUGCAAAAGGGAAUGUGAAGAUAAUUAGCAACUAAGAUAUAUAAAAUGCAAUUUUGCAGCAUUUUCUUCAUGAAAAAUGAAACAAUUUUUUUACUUUUGGUUCAUUGAGAAAGAUGUUUGACAACUAGACGUUUCCAAAAACGAUUGGCCUGCGAAAGCGAAGGUGAAGAUAAUUAGCAACUAAGAUAUAUAAAAUGCAAUUUUGCAGCAUUUUCUUCAUGAAAAAUGAAACAAUUUUUUUACUUUUGGUUCAUUGAGAAAGAUGUUUGACAACUAGACGUUUCCAAAAACGAUUGGCCUGCAAAAGCGAAGGUGAAGAUAAUUAGCAACUAAGAUUUAUAAAAUGCAAUUUUGCAGCAUUUUCUUCAUGAAAAAUGAAACAAUUUUUUUACUUUUGGUUCAUUGAGAAAGAUGUUUGACAACUAGACGUUUCCAAAAACGAUUGGCCUGCAAAAGCGAAGGUGAAGAUAAUUAGCAACUAAGAUUUAUAAAAUGCAAUUUUGCAGCAUUUUCUUCAUGAAAAAUGAAACAAUUUUUUUACUUUUGGUUCAUUGAGAAAGAUGUUUGACAACUAGACGUUUCCAAAAACGAUUGGCCUGCAAAAGCGAAGGUGAAGAUAAUUAGCAACUAAGAUAUAUAAAAUGCAAUUUUGCAGCAUUUUCUUCAUGAAAAAUGAAACAAUUUUUUUACUUUUGGUUCAUUGAGAAAGAUGUUUGACAACUAGACGUUUCCAAAAACGAUUGCCCUGCGAAAGCGAAGGUGAAGAUAAAUAGCAAGUGCAUCCGCAAUAACCAUCGAUUCAGUUUCACGUCAAAAAUCAAGUCGCCUUCUUAUGAAUUAGUGCCUUUGAAAAUUAUGAGAUCAGUUCGCUUUCUUAUGAAAUUAUUUGGCUAUUAUUCAGUUUUAGGUUGCCUUCAUAUGAAAUUAUUUGGAAAUUAUUCAGUCUCAGUUGCCUUCUCAUGAAUUUUUUUUUUGGGGAAUUUUUCAUUUUCAGGUUGACAUCUUACGUAUGAACAGAAUUUUAAAAGAAGAAAUUAUCCAGUUUCAGUUUGCCUUCGUAUGAAAAUAUUUAUAUUCUUAAUCGGAAAAAUUAGAAUGCCACUGAUCAUCUAUAAAUAAUCGAAACCUCCGUUAACAUUCAUAUCAAUAUACGUACGAUAACAAAUCUUUUUUUACAAGUUCGAUCAAUGGAGAAAUCAUCUGCUCUCUUCCUUUUUUUACGGCACGAAGCACGGCACGGCACGAGCACGUCUUGGUAGAGCACGCGGCACGGCACGACACGCACGUGGGCUGUGCCGGGCUUAGAUUUUAGGCACGCGGGCCUUAAAAGCACGGCACGAUUAGAUAUGGGCCAAAGUACGGUACGCGAAAAAGCACGCAAUAAGCACGUUUUAUUUUUUAAUGAAAAUAAACUUAAAAUUUUAUUAUUUUAUAAAUAACUUGAAAUUGAAUCUUUUAAUAUCUUUAUUGGCUCAGUGAUUUUAUAAAUAUGUAUUAAUAUUAUUAUAAACUAUGAUAUAUGACUUUACGUAAUUCCAAGUUAACAAUUAAGUUAC
rnacentral:lncRNA from 1 species